AGAAUAGUAGGUCGCCUUAUGGUGGCUUUUUUUAUAGCCGAAAAUCAGAAAAUCAAACCUUUUAAAAGGGGUACAUCAAAUUG
rnacentral:ncRNA from 1 species